UUGAAAGGGAAACGAUUGAAGUCAGUCGUACCAGCGGGAAAUCAACCUUUCGAGUGGGGGUUUGGGAGUUUUGAAGAGUUUCAAAACCUUCGAGAUUUCAAAAAUUUCGCUCUUUUGGUGUACUUUCUCGUGGGUAGGUUAACAUCGAUUUUGAUCAUCAUAAAAAGAUUGGAGGAAUGUAGCUUCGAUCUUGUAUUGAAGUGUUAUAGCCUUUGGUAAAUGUGAUGAUUAGGAUCGAGGAUUGCAACGAAUACCCUUUUGGGCUAUCCGCCUGAUCUCUGAUACGUGGCCUUGGUAUCGAAAGCUUGCUUAUGGUUUAAGGUAUUACGGUCAAAAGGUUAGAACGGAUUACAUUCGUUAAGGAUGUUGACGUA
rnacentral:rRNA from 1 species